rnacentral:lncRNA from 1 species
AUGAUAUAAACAUGAUAAAUGAGACAGUUGACUGCUUGUCUAUUACACAAUAAGAUUUUUUUAACAAUCUAAUAGUAUAGUUCUACAUGAAGCAGUCAUUUAAUUUGUACUAUUAAAAGUUGGGACUGAGAAGCAUGAAAAGCCAAAAUAUAUCUACCUUUACCAUCUGAGAGAAAAAAGAAAAAGAAAAAACCCGUACAAAACAUAAUCACGAUCAAGUUUACUUAACUCGUGAUGGAAACUACAUAUAAUAACAAUAUUCUACAUAUUCAACAUCAUGAGAUAGAUCCGUAAAUAUGUCAACCCUGUUAGGAACAAACAAAAAUCAUGUCUGCAUGUACAUGUAUUAAGAGUUAAAACUCUGAUAUGUGUUAUGUUUAUACCAUACUAUUGUGAUAGUGAUUACUAUUUAACCAAAACUAUUUCUGUCCUAACUUUCGGUCUCUUCC